ACAUACCUGACUGUGACAAGCUGUUGACAGGCUGUGCUGCUUUUCUCAGUUUACAACUUUGCGUCCACCUUUCCUGACUUUGAUUUUUGAUCUCAGAAUGCCUCUGACAUUCUGACCGUGCCUCACUUGACCCUUGCUUCCCCUGACUACACUUUGGAUUACAAUUUGGAUUUGUUUACUAGUUUCCUACGGACUCUCCUCUGUGAUUUUUGCAUCUAGAAAUUGGACUUCUGAUCAACAUGAAUUUUGGCUCUGCAAUAUCUGUCUGUCAAUAUGUCUUCACAGGCAGAAUAAAACUUCUUCUGAGCCUCUUACCAAUUAUUAUCAUUGGCCUAGGGGCAAAACACAUUUACGAUUGCCCAAAGCAGCCCAUGAUUCCUGUCUACCUGCUAGUAGGAGGAAUAGUCUGUCUGAUUAUCCACAUCCUUUAUUAUGAUUGGUGCAGCCAACUUGUUCAGCUGUGCCGGAUUCUUCAAAUACUGCUCCUUGGUGUUUGUCUGAUCUGGCUCUUGACAGGUAGCAUUUUUGUAUACAUGGCAUAUGAACCAAGCUACGACUCUUCUCUCUCUGCUGACUACUGUGAGAGGACUGUCUACAAGUUUGCUUUCUGGAUUACAACUGCUAUAUACACUGCCAUUCUGAUAAUAUUGCUCGGACUCUGUUGCAGCCGUCUCCUGAAGUUAUGUAACGAAACAGCUCAAAAUCAUUGUCACAUAAGCACAGUUUCCUGAAAACAUGAAGUGAAAGUUCUUUGGAUAAUGCGCCAGUAGGAUAUUUUUACUUUUGUCAUUACAGAUGUUAUAAAU